rnacentral:ncRNA from 1 species
CCUCUGGAGCGUUACACCAAAUGUUAGUAGCCAGUAUUACCGGCAAAAGCAGACGCUAAAGAACGAGGAA